UGGUGGACAGACAAAAGGGACAGACAAAACCAGAUCAGAGUCCAGGAGGUACAGAGUAGCAGACAGGCUCGUGGUCAAGGCAGGCAGAAAGGUCAGGCAGGCGGGUACAGAGUCCAGAACAGGCAAGGGUCAAAACCAAAACUAGAAAAAGGACAAUAGCAAAGGCAGGGUGUACGGGGGAAAAAAACGCUGGUUUACUAGGAACAUACAAGACGAACUGGCAGAGAGACAGGAAACACAGGGAUAAAUACACUGGCACAGAGAGACAGGAAACACAGGGAUAAAUACACUGGCACAGAGAGACAGGAAACACAGGGAUAAAUACACUGGGGCAGAGAGACAGGAAACACAGGGAUAAAUACACUGGCACAGAGAGACAGGAAACACAGGGAUAAAUACACUGGCACAGAGAGACAGGAAACACAGGGAUAAAUACACUGGCACAGAGAGACAGGAAACACAGGGAUAAAUACACUGGCACAGAGAGACAGGAAACACAGGGAUAAAUACACUGGCACAGAGAGACAGGAAACAGGGAUAAAUACACUGGGGCAGAGAGACAGGAAACACAGGGAUAAAUGCACUGGCACAGAGAGACAGGAAACACAGGGAUAAAUACACUGGCACAGAGAGACAGGAAACACAGGGAUAAAUACACUGGCACAGAGAGACUGGAAACACAGGGAUAAAUAGACUGGGGCAGAGAGACAGGAAACACAGGGAUAAAUACACUGGCACAGAGAGACAGGAAACACAGGGAUAAAUACACUGGGGCAGAGAGACAGGAAACACAGGGAUAAAUACACUGGCACAGAGAGACAGGAAACACAGGGAUAAAUACACUGGGGCAGAGAGACAGGAAACACAGGGAUAAAUACACUGGCACUGAGAGACAGGAAACACAGGGAUAAAUACACUGGCACAGAGAGACAGGAAACACAGGGAUAAAUACACUGGCACAGAGAGACAGGAAACACAGGGAUAAAUACACUGGCACAGAGAGACAGGAAACACAGGGAUAAAUACACUGGGGCAGAGAGACAGGAAACACAGGGAUAAAUACACUGGCACUG
rnacentral:lncRNA from 1 species